rnacentral:tRNA from 1 species
GCUCCAGUGGCGCAGUUGGCUAGCGCAUGGUACUUAUAAGACAGUAUUCUUGAACAGUAAUAAUGAUAUCAACUGUUGGGAUAUGCCGAGGUCGCGAGUUCGAGCCUCGCCUGGAGCA